AGACACUGAAUCUGUCCCGGAUCUUUCUGGACUCUUCUUUUCUCAGCUGCCCACCACUUCUUCUGCUAAACCUCUUCAGUCCUCAGAACCAUCUUCUUCAUCUCUUCUCUAGACUCGAAAAGAAAGAUCAAAGAUCCUUCCUUCAUUCUUUCAACCCCAGUACUCAAAAACUACUUCUCCCAUUUCUUUGUUCACCCAAUUUUUUUAAUCCCUCGAAAGAAAAAAAAUACUAAAAAAGAAGAAGAAGACAAUGUUCGGAGUAGUGUUCCCAAACCGCAGCUUCCCUAUGGACAUCUCCACGUUCACUCAAAUCGACACCUUCCAUUGGAUCCUCGACAUGAAUACUUUCGUGGGUGAAGCUUACGAUUCAAUUCGAGAAAUCUGCAUAUUCCUUCUCAACAACUUCACACUCCCUCCAGAAAAAGCCCUGGCCGUCUACAUUCAAUCCCCCGGUUCCCCUUUUCUGUACUGCGGCGCGGUGACUAUCACGCGCCCUUCUGCAGUUCUAUCUCUGCCGUGGCCGGAGCCCGGUGGACAGUUACAACUCACAGCGCCGGAUUCAGCUCCAUUAUCUGCGAAAAUUGGGGUUUCGGUGGAGGACCUUUCGUCCCUCCCCUCCCUUGAUGUUGCUGCUGAAAAGAAAAUCGAACGGUUGGCCAUGAAAGUUGGAGAGAAUUUGUUCAAUUUUAUGCAGUCUUUUUGUGGGGUUGAUGGGAGUAAGCUGGUAGUGCCCAUGGAUAUUUUGGACCGGUGGUUUAAGAAGUUUCAGGAGCGGGCGAAGCGGGACCCUGAGUAUUUGAAGGGUUUUGCUUUGUAGUUUUGAGGCCGAGCAUUGACCAUGAUAGAGAGGACAAAAAGAAUGAAGAACUUAUAAGAGAACAAAAGUUUCCUGACUGGCUAGAAGGUUUGGUGCGAGCGUCUUGGCUGGAGCUAACUUGCCAUAGUUAGACGAGAUCAAUGACGAUUAUCCAGGACAUGUCCUCCCAAACUUCUCUCUAGGAAAAAAAAUAAUCCAGGAGGACAUGAAUUGUCGCACGAAAAAAUGUAAUCUAUAACUGCUGCAUUUCCGAAGGCAUUCCCCAGUUAUCUUGUGAGUGUAUGUCAACAAUGUCGGCAGAAUAGUCACUGUCUGGCUUCCCUUUAUCUGUAACAUCGACAUGGGCAACGUCUACUGUUCAAAUGCCCAGAUCGAUAUUAAAUAUUUCUGAUUUGUGCAAUCCUGCCAGAGUUCCAGGUUC